AUGUCACCACAAACAGAAACUAAAGCAAGUGUUGGAUUUCAAGCUGGUGUUGAAGAUUAUAAAUUGACUUACUACACCCCAGAGUAUGAAACUAAGGAUACUGAUAUCUCGGCAGCAUUCCGAGUAAGUCCUCAGCCUGGGGUUCCGCCCGAAGAAGUAGGGGCUGCAGUAGCUGCCGAAUCUUCUACUGGUACAUGGACAACUGUUUGGACUGAUGGACUUACCAGUCUUUAUCGUUAUAAAGGACGAUGCUAUCACAUCGAGCCUGUUGCUGGGGAAGACAACCAAUGGAUCUGUUAUGUAGCUUAUCCAUUAGACCUAUUUGAAGAGGCUUCCGUUACUAACAUGUUUACUUCCAUUGUAGGUAACGUAUUUGGUUUCAAAGCCCUACGUGCUCUACGUUUGGAGGAUCUACGAAUUCCCCCUACUUAUUCAAAAACUUUCCAAGGCCCGCCUCAUGGUAUCCAAGUUGAAAGAGAUAAGUUGAACAAGUAUGGUCGUCCUUUAUUGGGAUGUACUAUUAAACCAAAAUUGGGAUUAUCCGCAAAAAAUUAUGGUAGAGCGUGUUAUGAGUGUCUACGUGGUGGACUUGAUUUUACCAAAGAUGAUGAAAACGUAAACUCACAACCAUUUAUGCGCUGGAGAGACCGUUUUGUCUUUUGUGCCAAAGCUAUUUAUAAAUCACAGGCCGAAACCGGUGAAAUCAAGGGGCAUUACUUGAAUGCGACUGCGGGUACAUGUGAAGAAAUGAUUAAGAGAGCUGUAUUUGCAAGAGAAUUAGGGGUUCCUAUUGUAAUGCAUGACUACUUAACUGGGGGAUUCACCGCAAAUACUACUUUCGCUCAUUAUUGCCGCGACAAUGGCCUACUUCUUCACAUUCACCGUGCAAUGCAUGCAUUUAUUGAUAGACAGAAAAAUCAUGGUAUGCAUUUCCGUGUAUUAGCUAAAGCAUUGCAUAUGUCUGGGGGAGAUCAUAUCCACUCUGGUACAGUAGUAGGUAAGUUAGAAGGGGAACGCGAAAUGACUUUAGGUUUUGUUGAUUUAUUGCGCGAUGAUUUUAUUGAAAAAGAUCGUGCUCGCGGUAUCUUUUUCACUCAGGACUGGGUAUCCAUGCCAGGUGUUAUACCGGUAGCUUCAGGUGGUAUUCAUGUUUGGCAUAUGCCAGCUCUGACCGAAAUCUUUGGGGACGAUUAUGUAUUACAAUUUGGUGGAGGAACUUUAGGACAUCCUUGGGGAAAUGCACCUGGUGCAGCAACUAAUCGAGUGGCUUUGGAACCUGUGUACAAGCUCGUAACGAAGGGCAUGAUCUUGCUCGCGAAGGUAAUGAAAUUAUCCGAGCAGCUUGCAAAUGGAGUCCUGAACUAG
rnacentral:rRNA from 1 species